UUGGAGGGCAAGUCUGGUGCCAGCAGCCGCGGUAAUUCCAGCUCCAAUAGCGUAUAUUAAAGUUGUUGCAGUUAAAAAGCUCGUAGUUGAAUUUCGGGAUCAAUUUAUUGGUCGUGCCAACGGUACGCACUGGUACAAUUGGUUUCUCCCUCCUGACGAAGCAUGAUGUCAUUAAUUUGAUGUCGUGGGGAAUCAGGACUGUUACUUUGAAAAAAUUAGAGUGUUUAAAGCAGGCUUUGGCUUGAAUACAUUAGCAUGGAAUAAUGAAAUAGGACGUUUGAUCUUAUUUCGUUGGUUUCUAAGAUCGACGUAAUGAUUAAUAGGGAUAGUUGGGGGCAUUAGUAUUCAAUUGUCAGAGGUGAAAUUCUUGGAUUUAUUGAAGACUAACUACUGCGAAAGCAUUUGCCAAGGAUGUUUUCAUUAAUCAAGAACGAAAGUUAGGGGAUCGAAGACGAUCAGAUACCGUCGUAGUCUUAACCAUAAACUAUGCCGACUAGGGAUCGGAUGAUGUUAAUUUUUUAAUGACUCAUUCGGCGCCUUACGGGAAAC
rnacentral:rRNA from 1 species